GCAGAACAGGAGCCUGCAGGCGCGGCGCUGGUAGUUGUGAGGUCAUCAUCGCAUAACGGCACGCAACUCGCUGCAGACGACUGAUUUCUGAGAGGAGUGCCCAUCAUUACACCGCAGUGUGAGACCCAAGGACUUACAAGAGUGUGAGAUGUGGCUUUGUUUUAACUCCACCUUAAAUGUCCAGCAGCUUCCCACAGUCUUUUCUUCACUAUUGCAGACGAAGUUCAAACUGUUCAACAAGGUUUCCAGAAAAAGAAAGACCAAAAGCAUGAGAGGGCAGGAGACGAGCAUGAAUGUAGGUGGCAUACGCUGUGGAUAUAUCAGCAUCAUCAAUAACACUCGUGUUUGGAGCUCUCUCAAACCAUCUGCCAUCAUGAGAAAGGCAGCCAAUCGGACGGCUCCGACCAGCCCUCUGCUCUCAUUGGCUCCUCCCUGGCCCUCGGCUCUGUAGACUACAGUCAGCUCUGCUAGCAAAACAGACAAUGUGCUGCUGCUACAAGCAGGGGAGACUCAACAAAUGCAACAGAACAAGGAACACAUCGCAGCCUGAGAGAGGAAGCAAAUGCUCACUCCUGAAACAGCCAGCAGGAGGAGGAACAGCAACCAGAAAAGACGUCAGCGGAGACAGUCAGAAGGUCAGUGAGAUGGGCUGCUCUUCUGGCCGCUUGCCCUGCCAGCCUCCAGCCUCCACACAGCUGGCAACGCUGGACCCCGACUGCAGCCUGUCCCACGAUGGCACGAGCCCGAUGGCUGC